ACGGGGGUGGCAAGCGUUACUCGGAUUCAUUGGGUGUAAAGGGCAGGUAGGUGGCUAUGUAAGUUGCAGGUGAAAUCCUUUGGCUCAACCAAAGAACUGCCUUCAAAACUGCAUAGCUUGAGGUUAAGAGAGGAGAGCGGAAUUCCCGGUGUAAGGGUGAAAUCUGUAGAUAUCGGGAGGAACUCCAGUGGCGAAAGCGGCUCUCUAGCUUAACCCUGACUCUGAACUGCGAAAGCUAGGGGAGCAAACAG
rnacentral:rRNA from 1 species